AACGAACGCUGGCGGCAGGCCUAACACAUGCAAGUCGAACGCCGUAGCAAUACGGAGUGGCAGACGGGUGAGUAACGCGUGGGAACAUACCCCUCGGUUCGGAAUAACUCAGGGAAACUUGAGCUAAUACCGGAUACGUCCGAGGUUUUAAUCGGCCUUGGAGAAAGAUUUAUCGCCGGAGGAUUGGCCCGCGUCUGAUUAGCUUGUUGGUGAGGUAAUGGCUCACCAAGGCGACGAUCAGUAGCUGGUCUGAGAGGAUGAUCAGCCACAUUGGGACUGAGACACGGCCCAAACUCCUACGGGAGGCAGCAGUGGGGAAUAUUGGACAAUGGGCGAAAGCCUGAUCCAGCCAUGCCGCGUGAGUGAUGAAGGCCUUAGGGUUGUAAAGCUCUUUU
rnacentral:rRNA from 1 species